rnacentral:rRNA from 1 species
AGAGUUUGAUCCUGGCUCAGGACGAACGCUGGCGGUAUGCUUAACACAUGCAAGUCGAACGAGACAAAAGAGAAGUGCUUGCACGGAUCUUUUAGAAAGUGGCGAACGGGUGAGUAACGCGUGGGUAACCUACCCUAUGGAAAGGAAUAGCCUCGGGAAACUGGGAGUAAUGCCUUAUAAGAUAUAUUUGUCGCAUGGCAGAUGUAUUAAACGCUCCGGUGCCAUAGGAUGGACCCGCGUCCCAUUAGCUAGUUGGUGAGAUAACAGCCCACCAAGGCGACGAUGGGUAACCGGUCUGAGAGGGCGAACGGUCACACUGGAACUGAGACACGGUCCAGACUCCUACGGGAGGCAGCAGUGGGGAAUAUUGCGCAAUGGGGGAAACCCUGACGCAGCAAUACCGCGUGAGUGAAGAAGGUUUUCGGAUCGUAAAGCUCUGUUAUUGGGGAAGAAAAAAAGACGGUACCCAAGAAGAAAGUCCCGGCUAACUACGUGCCAGCAGCCGCGGUAAUACGUAGGGGACAAGCGUUGUCCGGAUUUACUGGGCGUAAAGGGCACCCACGCGGUUUUUUAAGUCAGAUGUGAAAGGUACCGGCUCAACCGGUGACAUGCAUUUGAAACUGAAAGACUUGAGUAUUGGAGAGGCAAGUGGAAUUCCUAGUGUAGCGGUGAAAUGCGUAGAUAUUAGGAGGAACACCGGUGGCGAAGGCGGCUUGCUGGACAAAUACUGACGCUGAGGUGCGAAAGCGUGGCGAGCAAACAGGAUUAGAUACCCUGGUAGUCCACGCCGUAAACGAUGAGUGCUAGGUGUUGGGGAGACUCAGUGCCGCAGCUAACGCAAUAAGCACUCCGCCUGGGGAGUACGACCGCAAGGUUGAAACUCAAAGGAAUUGACGGGGACCCGCACAAGCAGCGGAGCAUGUGGUUUAAUUCGAAGCAACGCG